rnacentral:lncRNA from 1 species
AUAUAUUCAUAAUUAGUAAUCAGUUCAAGUAUCCUGGAUCUCUGUUCAUUGGUUAGAUUUUGAUAUUUUUCUCUUUUAUUAUUAUUGGUACAACUAUUUUAUAGAAGAGUUAGAAGAAGAAAAAAUGGAAAAAAGUAUAUUUGAGGUGUCCAUGAGGGUCAGCGGAGUUCAAAAAGUGGGGGUGUUAUAAGACUCUUCCUUUCUGUUUUCUGUAGAUAUUUGGACUUUAA